rfam:Acetobacterium wieringae strain DSM 1911 ACWI_contig000042, whole genome shotgun sequence.
UGUAAAAGACGCAUUCAUCCAUAGACAGUAGGUUUGUAAAUCCUACCGAGGUUGAAGAGAUAAACGCUUAUGAAUAAUAAAGCUCUCUUCACGCUGUGGAGUGAGCUUUUUUGAUACGAUU